rnacentral:lncRNA from 1 species
AUUUGUGGCAGUGCCCAGCAUUAUGCCAGAGAAUGCCCAAGGAACCAGAAUCAAGGGAGGCCUCCUAGCUAGGGCAGAGCUUACAACCUUACCCAGCAAGAUGCCGACGCCGACCCGGAUGUAGUACAGGGUAUGUAUACUAUCUGUGACCAUAUUGCUCAUGUUUUAUUUGACACUGGUGCAUCGCACUCUUUUGUUUCACAUGCUUUUGCUUCCAAAAUUAAUGUAUCACCUGAUAAACUUGAAUCAUUGUUGUUUGUGUCUACUGGCGGG